UUAAAGAUUGUCCAUUUGUGCUCCUGGUGAUGUUUUUAUAAUAUGAUUUUCUGAAUUUGUUCUGAUGGAAUUGCUGAAAUUUUGCAGUUAUAAGUGUACUGUUUAUUUGACUUUGUAGUUAACUGAAUGUCAUUUUACUAUAGCUAUCUGAAUGUAAUUGUUUUUCUGUAGUGUGCGAUUCAUCAAAUGGAAAAACUAUGGAUUCUAUUUUUUCACACUUGAACUAGAGCACGGUGGACUUUUCUAUGGAGAAAUCAACAACUUGGAGUAAUUUAACCCUUCUUUGUACCAUGUACAUAGUCGACUAUGGUUCAAAAAAGGUCCAUUGAUGAAGGAAGAAGGAGGUAAAUGGAGCAAAAGUCACGAGGAGAAAGGAGUAACGCCACAUCGAUGCUAUUUUCGACAACGCCUUCAAAAGGACUCACUCUGGAGAAGCUACGGUGGAUGGCCAUCUUGCUCAGAAAGCGGGGAGGGUGUCAUUCGAAAUGCAUGUAUGUUCUAAAAUCAUGCGUCCAAGUGGUAGAUGAGCAUGGGCAUGUGGCGGCCGAGGUAGCCACGAGGAGUUGGGUUGGGCACUUUCCAAUGUGAGGGUGACGUUGCUCCAGGUACCAACACCCUGGUUUUGACCCAAAGUUUCUUGGCUAGUUGUGCACGAUCGGGAAUGUUUCGUGCAUCUAGGCAAUGCCUCAUGCCAUCCAGUAGCCAUCUAUGUCGUCGUCGCUAUGUAUUAGUUUUUCUUGGAUUCCAAUUUACUUUAUAUGGUGUUCCUCAAUGCAUGGAUUAUUUUUGGUAUGGACGCGAGUCUUCAAAAUUUGAUAAGGCUAUCACCAUUUUUUUAAA